rnacentral:rRNA from 1 species
CCUACGGGAGGCAGCAGUGGGGGAUAUUGCACAAUGGGGGAAACCCUGAUGCAGCGACGCCGCGUGGGUGAAGAAGCGCCUCGGCGCGUAAAGCCCUGUCAGCAGGGAAGAAAAUGACGGUACCUGAAGAAGCAGCCCCGGCUAACUACGUGCCAGCAGCCGCGGUAAUACGUAGGGGGCAAGCGUUCUCCGGAUUUACUGGGUGUAAAGGGGGCGCAGACGGCGCUGCAAGCCAGGAGGGAAAGCCCGGGGCCCAACCCCGGGACUGCUCUGGGAACUGCGUGGCUAGAGUGCAGGAGGGGCAGGCGGAAUUCCUGGUGUAGCGGUGAAAUGCGUAGAUAUCAGGAGGAACACCGGUGGCGAAGGCGGCCUGCUGGACUGCAACUGACGUUGAGGCCCGAAAGCGUGGGGAGCAAACAGGAUUAGAUACCCGUGUAGUC